UUUUGUAGUAUGGCGAGUAAUUGGACUGUUUGUGGUGUAUGCAAUUUCCGAAACAUCAACAAAGCAUCAAUAGUAUGGUGUUCAGAAUGUGACGAGGGACUUUGUGGCGAGUGUAGUGAACAACAUGGAGCCGUAAAAUCAUCUAGAAACCAUAGCGUUAUAUCUGUCACAGAGUACCAGAAACUACCAUCCAAUGUAUUAGAAAUUGCACAAACAUGUCAAAAACAUAAAGAACAAUAUCAAAUAUUCUGUAAGAAACAUGAUUGCCCGUGUUGUAGACGAUGUGUUAUAGAGACACACAAUGAGUGUAAAGAUUUGAUAGCAAUAGAUGACAUCGUCCAAAAUGUCAAGUCAUCGAGUGCAUUUUUCGAUGUAGAACAAACGCUGGUCCAAAUGUUGGAAAAUGUCCGAAGAAUUCGUAAUGACCGCACGGAAAAUUUAAAAUGUCUUUUGGAUCAAAGAGUAAAGAUUGAACGUGAUAUAAAACAAACCCGGAAAAUGAUCAACGACCACUUAGACAAAAUACAGGACAAAAUAAUUAAAGAAUUAUAUGCUAAUGAAGAAAAUGAAAGUAAGAGAAUAAAGCUGUUGUUGUGUGAGAUUGAAGGCAUUGAAAAGGGAAUUUCUGACCUCCAAGGUAACCAAAAUAACAUAAGGCAACAUGCAUCAGAACUUCAAACAUUUUUAGCAUUAAAGCACAUUGAAAAAGAGGUUUCUGAUAAAGCAGAAUGUAUUCAGUCUGUCCUUAAGAACGAGGACAUGAAGAUAAAAACACUGGCUUUGGAGGUUAACAAAGACGUACAAAACAUUUGCAUGGCUGAUUGUUUUGGGUCCGUUAGUGUUGAUUCAAAAUCGUGCAAAGUUGUUAUUGACAGUAACAAAAACAAAGAAGCUCAGAUGAUGAUACCUAGUUUAAUUUCCAAAUGCAUAGAUGAUAUCAAACUAAGCAACAAAAUGCAAAUUGAUUUGCAAUCUGCUGGAUGUGUUACAGGUUGCGCAAUUCUACCAAAUGGCAAGAUGAUGUUCUGUGAUUAUAAUAAUCGAAAUUUAAUUGCGUUGAAAAGCAACGGUAUGCAUGAGUUUGAAAUUCGGCUAGAUACACGCGCAUUUGAUUUAGCAUAUUUUGAAAGAGAAAAUUCCAUUGCCGUUACAAGUGGCGCUUGGUUCAAAAGUUAUUCACAUUAUUGACCCUAACAGCAGAACAAUCAAGAGAACUAUACAAAGAGAGUGAAUAUCCAUAUGGUAUAGCACUGAAUAAAACUGUCCUGGUAUACUGUAAGUUAGGUAAAGGAAUAAUGGAAGUUCAAUUGAAUGGUGAAUCAGAAAAGGCACUUGUUAGCUUUAGUAUGCCACACUAUUCGUAUGUUGCAGUGCAUGGUGACAAUAUCUAUUAUACAAAUAGAAAACCUCUGUAACAUGCUAUGAUAUCCUUGGAAAUCUAAAAUGGGAAUUUAAGGAUACACAAAUAUUCGCAAUAUCCACAGGGUAUAUCUGUAGACAACAAUGGAAACGUGUAUGUUGCCAGUAGGGAUAAAAACAGCGUUGUCAUCAUAACCCCUGAUGGAAAGCGUUGCAGAACAAUAUUGUCCUCUCGUGAUGGCCUUAGUAAUCCAUGUGCAUUGCAUUUCGAACCAA
rnacentral:lncRNA from 1 species